CAGAUGGAGGGCUUUACCACCAACCAGACUUCACAGGCAUUCUUCAAAUUUUUUCUCAUUUUGUCUGAUUAUUCCUUGUUUCCUCUCGCUGGGUCCACAGUAGUUUGAGACACCUUGAUCCAAUGCUAGACCAAACACCGGCUGCAGGGAUGGACCACUGAUCAUGUCUGUCUUAAUGCCCUGGAGGCUGUUGGGGUUAACAGAGUGAGUGGACCUCCCCACUGAAAGCAGUAAUUGGCUGUGUGUUUGGGUUUGUGUUGCACUACCAAGGAACUACAACACUUAGUGCGGUCUGCAGAGAAACAAAGAGUGAAGCAGUGAUUGGAUUUUUGUAGACAGGAAAUUGCAUGUCUGUCAGGAGGAUUGUGGGUCAGCGUCCUGCUCGUAAAUCACGGCUCUAACAGUGAGCACACGAUGAGAGGAGGUGAGCUGCCGACCCCCUCAACACGUGCAGUGACGACUUUUUCAGCCACUAUUAAAACCCUGACAUGGAAAGGAACAGUUAUACAGAAAUAGAUAAAAUAGUUUUUAUUGAUGAACUUGAUAGAUUUACUUUUGGAUUGAUUGCACUUCUGGGAUUUGAUUGAGGCAGAUUUUUCACUUAAGCAACCAAGACUUUCAGGUCUUACAGUUACACUCAAUGCAUUUUCAGAAAAACACCAUUGGUGAAAUCUUGGCUUUGACUCAGAAUUUUGAC